rnacentral:rRNA from 1 species
UUGCUCCUUCUGAUCAGUGGCGAACGGGUGAGUAACACGUGAGCAAUCUGCCCUUGACUCUGGGAUAACUGCGGGAAACUGUAGCUAAUACCGGAUACGACCCUCGGAGGCAUCUCCUGGGGGUGGAAAGAAUUUUGGUCAAGGAUGAGCUCGCGGCCUAUCAGCUAGUUGGUGAGGUAAUGGCUCACCAAGGCGACGACGGGUAGCCGGCCUGAGAGGGUGACCGGCCACACUGGGACUGAGACACGGCCCAGACUCCUACGGGAGGCAGCAGUGGGGAAUAUUGCACAAUGGGCGCAAGCCUGAUGCAGCAACGCCGCGUGAGGGACGAAGGCCUUCGGGUUGUAAACCUCUUUUAGUAGGGAAGAAGCGAGGUGUUUACACUUCAUGACGGUACCUGCAGAAAAAGCACCGGCUAACUACGUGCCAGCAGCCGCGGUAAUACGUAGGGUGCAAGCGUUGUCCGGAAUUAUUGGGCGUAAAGAGCUCGUAGGCGGUUUGUCGCGUCUGCUGUGAAAACCCGAGGCUCAACCUCGGGCCUGCAGUGGGUACGGGCAGACUAGAGUGCGGUAGGGGAGAUUGGAAUUCCUGGUGUAGCGGUGGAAUGCGCAGAUAUCAGGAGGAACACCAAUGGCGAAGGCAGAUCUCUGGGCCGUAACUGACGCUGAGGAGCGAAAGCAUGGGGAGCGAACAGGAUUAGAUACCCUGGUAGUCCAUGCCGUAAACGUUGGGAACUAGAUGUGGGGACCAUUCCACGGUCUCCGUGUCGCAGCUAACGCAUUAAGUUCCCCGCCUGGGGAGUACGGCCGCAAGGCUAAAACUCAAAGGAAUUGACGGGGGCCCGCACAAGCGGCGGAGCAUGCGGAUUAAUUCGAUGCAACGCGAAGAACCUUACCAAGGCUUGACAUAUAGAGGAAACGGUUGGAAAC